UACAGAGGGUGCAAGCGUUGUUCGGAAUUAUUGGGCGUAAAGCGCGCGUAGGCGGCUUGUUAUGUCGGGUGUGAAAGCCCUCAGCUUAACUGAGGAAGUGCGCCCGAAACUGGCAAGCUUGAGUGUCGGAGAGGAUAGCGGAACACCCGGUGUAGAGGUGAAAUUCGUAGAUAUCGGGUAGAACACCAGUGGCGAAGGCGGCUAUCUGGACGGCAACUGACGCUGAGACGCGAAAGCGUGGGGAGCGAACAGG
rnacentral:rRNA from 1 species